AAAACUUGCAAAUAACUUGUGAUUGGAUAACUUGAGACAAGGUGCUACAGCUAUUAAAGAAAAUUAAUGUAAAUAAUGCUCCGGGGCCUGACGGUAUUCACCCACGAGUACUUAAGGAGCUAAGUGGGGAAAUAAGUGAACCUCUGUAUUUAAUUUUUCAAGAUUCUUUUGUUUCAGGUGUUGUACCGGAGGAUUGGAGGAAGGCAGAUGUUGUUCCUAUAUUUAAAAAGGGUUCAAAAUCCUUGCCUGGUAAUUAUAGACCUGUGAGCUUAACUUCUGUAACUGGGAAAAUAUUUGAAGGGCUAUUAAGGGAUAAUAUUUAGGAAUUCAUUGGGAAGAACUUUGUUAUUAGCAAUAAUCAGCAUGGUUUUAUGAAACAUCGGUCAUGUCAAACUAACCUAAUUGCAUUCUACGAAGAAGUAAGUAGAAGUAUAGAUCAGGGUGUUGCAGUGGAUGUGAUCUACUUGGAUUUUGCCAAUGCAUUUGAUACGGUUCCUCACAAUAGGUUAGUCUUCAAACUAAAAGAAAUUGGUCUAGAUGAAUAUUCUUGUUCUUGGGUAGAACAUUGGCUUAAGGAUAGAGUACAACGAGUUGUAAU